UCAAAGUAACCAAAUUGAGAAGAUCUAUUAACACUAAAAACAUUAUACACUAGCAUGAUUCAAGACAAUGUGAGUCUACACAUAAAGGAAUACUUUGUUCAUAUGGCUAAAAUUGCAACAGUCUUAUACAAAAAUCUACCAUCGGAAGGGCUAUCAUUAGCACUGUAUAUUGCCCCCCGGAACAAAACAAAAAACAAAGAAAUGAAAGAACACCAA
rnacentral:lncRNA from 1 species